rnacentral:tRNA from 1 species
GAGGGUCUAGCUCAGUGGUAGAGCACAUGCUUAGCAUGCACGAGGUCCUGGGUUCGAUCCCCAGUACCUCCU